rnacentral:lncRNA from 1 species
AAUAAAAAUUAUCACCUGAGCAAAAGGAAAAGACAAAACUUGCUGGUAUUUAGUGGAACUUCCCAGGGAAGCCCAAGCAGUGGAGGGGAGCAUUUCACAGCCCAAAGAGAACAACAGGAGUCCGGGUGCAAUCAACUGGCAAAAAAAUGCCUUACAUGAAAUGAAGGUCAGGGUGUAGGAGAAAUAGUACUGGGAGGACAUAUGUGACAAUGUCAUGCAAGCAGCAAAGAUGAGCUCAAAGUCAAGCAGCUGAAGAACCCUCAACAGGAGCUAGUUUGUAGAAAAGACUAGGGGACUAGCAGAUUGCUCAUCCACCAUCCACAGAGGCAUUAACAUUCUGAGUUAACCCUCUUCUCUCCUCAUGAUACCAGCCUCUUCCCUUGCACAAGUUUGAGUUGAUAAUCCAACUUUACCCAGAGUUAAAGUAAGUGCUACAAAGUUUGUCGAUACCAACCUGGAUAGCUUCGGGUAGAGCUAUGGAGUUAAGAGACUGCCACUGUGGUCAUUGUGUCUGACAGAUCUGCUAAACUGGUCUUAUUUUCAGUGACUCAAUGAGAAGUUGCUUUCCCUGGACAGUUCAUCUUUAAACAAGCACACCCAAACAUCUCAGGGCGGACGGACCAACAUUCCUUCCAGAAGCAUUCCAGAAUUUCUUUACAUUACAAUGACUGAAUUUGCAUUCACCUCCGGUAGACAAUGGACACAUAAAUAUGCAAAUACCCAUUUAACCGUUCCUAUCCGGCAGUGUUAAAGAGCCUCCAACUUCCCCCAUCCCUUACCGGAAUAUCUAACCCAUAACAAGGCAUUGGGUAAACAGGAUUCGGGGUUGGGAGGAAUAGGGGUCCCUUCUCCGGCGGCAGAAAUCCCCUCCGCCGAAGUUCAGAGCUGGGUCCACACCAUACGCCGCUAAGAAAAAAGACACUCACUGUGAGCGCCCAGAAGUAGGGAGUACCCUCGGCGGAGGGGUCCCCACUGUGAGCACUUCUGAAGCAUGGAUCCGCUCUGCUUCGAUGAUUGCCUUAGAAGUAGGGAUUAACUUCGUGCAUGUCCCUGAGAACCCCAGCACUAGGGAGUCACCUUUAUUAGUGCCCAGAAACGAGGGAACAACAGUCUCCGCAGUCCGCUCUCCAGCGUGGCCACAAAGAUCGCUCUAGGCAGGGCCGUUCUGACGCUGAUCAGGCCUCGAUUACAACGUUCCCGGAAUAAAUCCUAGGAGCUCGCUCACAUCCGGAGGCCUUGUCUUUGGGACUAGAGCCUGGCGGACUACAAGCCGGGGAAUGCCCUCCUCAUCUCGCGCACUCCGGUGUUCACACACACCUAUUACUCGCCCCACCCCCACUUCAC